UGCUGUACCACCCUGAAUGCACCCGAUUUCAUCUGAUCUUGGAAGAUAAGCAGGGUCUGGUCUAGGUAGUAUUUGGAAGGUAGAACAUACAGCCC
rnacentral:rRNA from 1 species